AAUCAACGCUGGCGGCGUGCCUCAGACAUGCAAGUCGAACGCGAAAGUCCCCUUCGGGGGACAAGUAGAGUGGCGCACGGGUGAGUAACACGUAGGUAAUCUACCUUCGGAUGGGGAAUAACAACCGGAAACGGUUGCUAAUACCGCAUAAUGCAGCGGCACCUAAUGGUGACAGUUGUUAAAGCGGGGGAUCGUAAGACCUCGCGUCUGAAGAGGAGCCUGCGGCGGAUUAGCUAGNGGUAAGGUAAUGGCUUACCAAGGCUACGAUCCGUAACCGGCCUGAGAGGGCGGUCGGUCACACUGACACUGACAUACGGGUCAGACUCCUACGGGAGGCAGCAGUCGGGAAUUUUGGGCAAUGGGCGAAAGCCUGACCCAGCAACGCCGCGUGAAGGAUGAAAUCCCUCGGGAUGUAAACUUCGCAAGAACGGGAAGAAUAAGCGAGAGUUAAUAUCUUUCGUGAUGACGGUACCGUUUGUAAGCUCCGGCUAACUCCGUGCCAGCAGCCGCCGUAA
rnacentral:rRNA from 1 species